ACUCACACACACACUCACACACCAGCUGUAUCUGAGAUUUGGAUGAGCCGAGACACGAAACCUACUGAAGUAUCAAGAAUAAACCGCUUUCCAUCUUCAAAACACAUAAAAUGGGAAAUGAUUACUCUGGUGAAGAUAGAGAACGUAAAAGGGCUGAAGGUGCCGAGGAUGGAAAAAGGAGAAUGGAGGGACAAUUUCAAAGAUUACAACUAGAAACAGAAUUACAGAGAGCGAGACAGGAGCAAAGAGCAGCGGAGGAACGAUGCAGUAUCCAAGCCGAAAAACAAGCACUCCAGGAACAAUACAAUAAAGCUCAAAAUGAAAUAAAUGUUCAGAGAUUGAGGGAAGAAGAGAAGAAGAAAAUCAACAGCGAGAACAGAUUUAAAGAGGAAGAAGAAAGGAAAAGAAUUAACAUGGAGAAGCAAAAUGCACAAAAAGAAAACACUAUCACAGUUAGUUAAAUCAUCUCUGUGGUUUAUUAGGAGGAUACAUUUUUAAUUUCCAUUCAUCAUACAGAAAGAUAGAUGCACAUCACCUAAAACAUUGUGAAGAUUUUAUUUUUCUUCUUCCAUAUGUCUACUGUAAAGAACUUUGUAAACUUUUUGUUAAAAAAAUGUUAUCAAAAUAAAAAGAA